rnacentral:misc_RNA from 1 species
GAUGAAGAACGUAGCGAAAUGCGAUAAGUAAUGUGAAUUGCAGAACUCAGUGAAUCAUCGAAUCUUUGAACGCACAUUGCGCCCGCCAGCACUCUGGCGGGCAUGCCUGUUCGAGCGUCAUUUCAACCAUCAAGCCCCCAGGGGCUUGUGCUGGGGCCCUGCGGCUGCCCGCAGGCCCUGAAAACCAGUGGCGGGCUCGCUAGUCACACCGAGCGCAGUAGCACAUCUCGCUCAGGGCGUGCGGCGGGCUCCUGCCGUGAAACCCCCCACUGUAACCCCAAAGGUUGACCUCGGAUCAGGUAGGAAUACCCGCUGAACUUAAGCAUAUCAUAAGCGGAGGA